GGUAAGCUAAAAAAUAUUUAAAUGAUAGUCAUUACGUAAUAUAAAAGCCAUUACUUAAAACCAUAGUUAACCCAUUAUUUAAAGAUAGAUUCUGAGUUACAUUAGUAACAGCUAUUACCACCAUUACUUAAUAGUAACAGUUAUUACUUACCAUUAAGUAAUGGUAGCGGCGUUACCUCAAUAAUUUGUCUAAUAAAAAACACAUUUAGACGGUAUUUUUUUU
rnacentral:misc_RNA from 1 species